UUUUAUUGAGUGAAGCCUUCGGCUCACCGAAGAAGUGCAUCGGAAACUGGGAAACUUGCCUGCAGAAGAGGACAGUGGAACUCCAUGUGUAGCGGUGAAAUGCGUAGAUAUAUGGAAGAACACCAGUGGCGAAGGCGGCUGUCUGGUCUGUAACUGACGCUGAGGCUCGAAAGUAUGGGUAGCAAACAGGAUUAGAUACCCUGGUAGUCCAUACCGUAAACGAUGAAUGCUAAGUGUUGGAGGGUUUCCGCCCUUCAGUGCUGCAGCUAACGCAUUAAGCAUUCCGCCUGGGGAGUACGGCCGCAAGGCUGAAACUCAAAGGAAUUGACGGGGGCCCGCACAAGCGGUGGAGCAUGUGGUUUAAUUCGAAGCUACGCGAAGAACCUUACCAGGUCUUGACAUACUAUGCAAAUCUAAGAGAUUAGACGUUCCCUUCGGGGACAUGGAUACAGGUGGUGCAUGGUUGUCGUCAGCUCGUGUCGUGAGAUGUUGGGUUAAGUCCCGCAACGAGCGCAACCCUUAUUAUCAGUUGCCAGCAUUAAGUUGGGCACUCUGGUGAGACUGCCGGUGACAAACCGGAGGAAGGUGGGGAUGACGUCAAAUCAUCAUGCCCCUUAUGACCCUGGG
rnacentral:rRNA from 1 species